UACGGGGGGGGUAAGCGUUGUUCGGAAUUACUGGGCGUAAAGGGCUCGUAGGCGGCCAACUAAGUCAGACGUGAAAUCCCUCAGCUUAACUGGGGAACUGCGUCUGAUACUGGAUGGCUUGGAUCCGGAAGAGGGAUGCGGAAUUCCUAGUGUAGCGGUGAAAUGCAUAGAUAUUCGGAGGAACACCAGUGGCGAAGGCGGCUCACUGGCUCGAUACUGACGCUGAGGUGCGAAAGCGUGGGGAGCAAACAGG
rnacentral:rRNA from 1 species